CCUACGGGAGGCUGCAGUGGGGAAUAUUGCACAAUGGGCGCAAGCCUGAUGCAGCCAUGCCGCGUGUGUGAAGAAGGCCUUCGGGUUGUAAAGCACUUUCAGCGGGGAGGAAGGCGUUAAGGUUAAUAACCUUGUCGAUUGACGUUACCCGCAGAAGAAGCACCGGCUAACUCCGUGCCAGCAGCCGCGGUAAUACGGAGGGUGCAAGCAUUAAUCGGAAUUACUGGGCGUAAAGCGCACGCAGGCGGUCUGUCAAGUCGGAUGUGAAAUCCCCGGGCUCAACCUGGGAACUGCAUUCGAAACUGGCAGGCUAGAGUCUUGUAGAGGGGGGUAGAAUUCCAGGUGUAGCGGUGAAAUGCGUAGAGAUCUGGAGGAAUACCGGUGGCGAAGGCGGCCCCCUGGACAAAGACUGACGCUCAGGUGCGAAAGCGUGGGGAGCAAACAGGAUUAGAUACCCCAGUAGUC
rnacentral:rRNA from 1 species